UACGUAGGGUGCGAGCGUUGUCCGGAAUUAUUGGGCGUAAAGAGCUCGUAGGCGGUUUGUUGCGUCGGCCGUGAAAACCUGCAGCUUAACUGUGGGCCUGCGGCCGAUACGGGCAGGCUAGAGUUCGGUAGGGGAGACUGGAAUUCCUGGUGUAGCGGUGAAAUGCGCAGAUAUCAGGAGGAACACCCGUGGCGAAGGCGGCCCCUG
rnacentral:rRNA from 1 species